rnacentral:sRNA from 1 species
UGACAUCCCCGCUUCAGCCUCCCAAGGAGCUGAAACUAACAGAUGUGUGUCACCAUGCCCAGCUAACUUAAAACAGUAUUUUUGGUAGAGAUGGAAUCUUGCUAUGUUGCCUGGGCUGGUCUCAAACUCUUGGCUUCCUGCCUGGGUCUCCCAGACUGUUGUGAUUAUAGACAUGAACCACUGUACCUGACCCAAGAUUUAUUUUUAAUUAAGAAGCAAUGUAUAAAUGCAUUCUCUUUGUGGAAAGACAAAAAUGCUAGGCUAAAGGCCUCCUUGUCCACCUCUUCCAAGCCUGGGAUCCUCCCUGUGCCAUCCUUCUCCACUCCCAGACCCCUGCCUCAGUGUUAUGUGCCAAGAACCUUGCAAAGAAAGACUUCUUCAGGCUCCCCGACCCUUUUGCAAAGAUUGUCGUGGAUGGGUCUGGGCAGUGCCACUCAACCGACACUGUGAAAAACACAUUGGACCCAAAGUGGAACCAGCACUACGAUCUAUAUGUUGGGAAAACAGAUUCGAUAACCAUUAGCGUGUGGAACCAUAAGAAAAUUCACAAGAAACAGGGAGCUGGCUUCCUGGGCUGUGUGCGGCUGCUCUCCAAUGCCAUCAGCAGAUUAAAAGAUACCGGAUACCAGCGUUUGGAUCUAUGCAAACUAAACCCCUCAGAUACUGAUGCAGUUCGUGGCCAGAUAGUGGUCAGUUUACAGACACGAGACAGAAUAGGAACCGGCGGCUCGGUGGUGGACUGCAGAGGACUGUUAGAAAAUGAAGGAACGGUGUAUGAAGACUCGGGGCCUGGGAGGCCGCUCAGCUGCUUCAUGGAGGAACCAGCCCCUUACACAGAUAGCACCGGUGCUGCUGCUGGAGGAGGGAACUGCAGGUUCGUGGAGUCCCCAAGUCAAGAUCAAAGACUUCAGGCACAGCGGCUUCGAAACCCUGAUGUGCGAGGUUCACUACAGACGCCCCAGAACCGACCACACGGCCACCAGUCCCCGGAACUGCCCGAA